rnacentral:rRNA from 1 species
AACGAACGCUGGCGGCAGGCUUAACACAUGCAAGUCGAACGCCCCGCAAGGGGAGUGGCAGACGGGUGAGUAACGCGUGGGAAUCUACCGUGCCCUGCGGAAUAGCUCCGGGAAACUGGAAUUAAUACCGUAUACGCCCUACGGGGGAAAGAUUUAUCGGGGUAUGAUGAGCCCGCGUUGGAUUAGCUAGUUGGUGGGGUAAAGGCCUACCAAGGCGACGAUCCAUAGCUGGUCUGAGAGGAUGAUCAGCCACAUUGGGACUGAGACACGGCCCAAACUCCUACGGGAGGCAGCAGUGGGGAAUAUUGGACAAUGGGCGCAAGCCUGAUCCAGCCAUGCCGCGUGAGUGAUGAAGGCCUUAGGGUUGUAAAGCUCUUUCACCGGAGAAGAUAAUGACGGUAUCCGGAGAAGAAGCCCCGGCUAACUUCGUGCCAGCCGCCGCCGUAA